rnacentral:tRNA from 1 species
GCGGAAAUGGCGGAAUUGGUAGACGCACCAGAUUUAGGGUCUGGCGCCGUAAGGUGUGAGAGUUCAAGUCUCUCCUUCCGCACCA